AAGGAUAGAUGUUGAGAAUCUGUCACCAACGCGCCAUUUAGCUAGUGGGUCGAGAAAUGCAGGAGCCUCGACAGUCCUGCCUAUCCUU
ncrna:unclassified sequences skipping-rope RNA